UAAGGUAUCAUUACAAAGCUUAUAAUCUACUGAGUGUCGUCAUCCUAUUUGUAUAAAUGUAUCACUCUUGUAUCAGAAACUAGAAAUACGAAAUAAAACUCUGAGGGCCUACUGUAAUUAUGAAAAGUGUGGGCCAUUAAUGGUGGUUUGGAAUCUUGAUGGGUUCCAUUAACUAGGACUUUUGACUGUAGAUGGCUGUUUUACUUGUAAGUCUUCCUGUAGAUCUGUGUGCUGGCAAGUGAGUAAUGAACUCUUACAGUGAUGUGAUCAUGUCUCCUGAACUGGAAUCCAUCUUUAAUCUGGUGCUUUUCCAUUGUGGGGACCCAGAGAGACAAAAGAUUCCCAUCUUGUGCCAAAGCUAUAAAAGGGAGUGGAACAGAACAAAGGAGGCUGUCAGUCACGAGAAAACCCCUGCUUUCCUUCUAAGAUGUCUGCUGGAACUAACAAGGACUGUACCGGGGAAAGGAUUGGGCCCAGAC